rnacentral:rRNA from 1 species
CGGUGGACAUGUGGUUUAUUCGAUGCAACGCGAAGAACCUUACCUACUCUUGACAUCCAGAGAAUUUGCUAGAGAUAGCUUAGUGCCUUCGGGAACUCUGAGACAGGUGCUGCAUGGCUGUCGUCAGCUCGUGUUGUGAAAUGUUGGGUUAAGUCCCGCAACGAGCGCAACCCUUAUCCUUUGUUGCCAGCACGUAAUGGUGGGAACUCAAAGGAGACUGCCGGUGAUAAACCGGAGGAAGGUGGGGAUGACGUCAAGUCAUCAUGGCCCUUACGAGUAGGGCUACACACGUGCUACAAUGGCAUAUACAAAGAGAAGCGAACUCGCGAGAGCAAGCGGACCUCAUAAAGUAUGUCGUAGUCCGGAUUGGAGUCUGCAACUCGACUCCAUGAAGUCGGAAUCGCUAGUAAUCGUAGAUCAGAAUGCUACGGUGAAUACGUUCCCGGGCCUUGUACACACCGCCCGUA